GGAACAUGCAAGCAUGUGAAUUAGUAAGGAUGUUCGAUCUUCAGUUCUGUAAACUAUUGAUUUUACUCUGAUCAGAUCUUUAUUUGGUAACCCAAACUCAGAAUGGCUUAGCCUGAUAUCGCUGUACAAGUAAAAUAUUUAUUUUUACUAUCAGCAAAGAAGAAUAUGUUAUUAUUUCAAGUAAGCAAGAGAAAGGGGAAGGUUAGCUGAUGAAUAGCAGCCUGCAGGUGAGGUUAUCCUGUGGCUGGUAGAAAGCUCAUACCCACUGAGCUGUAGCAUUUCUGGAUAAGUGAUUCCCAUGCUUUAGAUAGAUUGACCUUUUAUUGGAAUCCAUGUUCUGGUGAAUCAGCUGCUACUAUAUACAAGAAGGACACUCCAGACUAUGCUGUAACCAGUUGUCUCUGAUCUUCUCUUGUCAGCCUUCGCCUGUUAACUUUACUGCCACAGAGAGAAAUAUUUCCACCAAGGAAGAGAGAAAUGAAAGGAGACGAGAAUGUCACAAGUGGCAGAACUUCUGCUGGGAUUUCAUUCUCCACCCCUGCUUGGGACUCCUUCCUGCUUCUUCCUAUCCUAAUGCAAACAUGGUCUAGCUUCAGAAUAGGAUGCUUUAUUUUGGUAAAGAAAAAACAAGGCUCUCUGCAGACUGGCAGUGUCUAACCCCAGAUGUUUCCUGUGUAUUUUCUAAGCUGAGCACCUCAUAUUACCAGUUGCUGUGACACAUGUAAUGUCAUUAGACAGGGAAUAAACAACUUCAAAACCAUCUACA
rnacentral:lncRNA from 1 species